CCUAGAUCUAACUAUUACAUCUAACAAUAUGAUCAAGACAGGUUAAAAAUAAUUACCAAACCAAUUAGAUCUUGAUCUUUCUCUAGUCCAACACAUGGAGAAGAUAUUCCUUAGAUUACUUACAGCCACGCAAAGUCAUCUGGACUCUAUAAGAAAUCCACACGAAAACUGGUGCAGAUCAGGGGCUUGGAGGUGCUAGCCUGCAAGCAACUUCGAUGGCUGAUUUCUUCCUUCUUCUUUAAAUACCUUGGAUACUCCAAAGGAUAAAGAGAUUUGGAGGAAGAAGAGAGGAAGAGGAGAGGAGCUCUAGAAAAUCAAAAACCAGCAAAGGAAAUUGAUGCAUGAUG
rnacentral:lncRNA from 1 species